UACGGAGGGUGCAAGCGUUAAUCGGAAUUACUGGGCGUAAAGCGCACGCAGGCGGUCUGUCAAGUCGGAUGUGAAAUCCCCGGGCUCAACCUGGGAACUGCAUUCGAAACUGGCAGGCUAGAGUCUUGUAGAGGGGGGUAGAAUUCCAGGUGUAGCGGUGAAAUGCGUAGAGAUCUGGAGGAAUACCGGUGGCGAAGGCGGCCCCCUGGACAAAGACUGACGCUCAGGUGCGAAAGCGUGGGGAGCAAAC
rnacentral:rRNA from 1 species